rnacentral:misc_RNA from 1 species
ACUUUCAUGUCAACCAUACAAGUUUGAAAAGGAAAUGAAAAAAAAAAUGGAAAUAAACAUGUUAGCCCUCACACUUCAUUGUAUUAAUGCCAUGUUAGUUCUAUAGCACCAAAAUGUCAAGCAUUAUGAGAUUCAAGGUUGUUAAAGGCAUGCUUCAGACUCAAGGCUCCAACCCUAAUGCCUCCAAUAUUUAACAGACACUCACCUCAUAUGCCUAGGCGCAUGCCUUGUUCUAGGCGCAAGGCUCUAGAAAAGGCAAGCUUUCUUUAUUUCCACCACCUGCAAGCACUUCUUGAUGUGGAACCUCAGUUGCUAAAAGACAAUAGCACUAGAUUCAAAUUUGUCAAUAUACUAGUCUAGUGUUGACACACUAGGAAGUCAUCAGAAUUAGAGUCUUGAUGAUAAAAAGUUAUUGGCAUCUCAUUAAAACUACCACUUAGGAUUAUGGACCGCAUAUGUUUCCAUUUUCAACACUCAUGCUCCUUUAAUCCCUCUCCUCAUACAUUGUUUCAAUUUUCUCUCAUCAUCUCUCCCAUCUUUAAUGCUUGUUGGAUUCCUCUGUUUCUUGUUUAUGUGAAAUUGUCCUCUUUCUUUUUUAAC